CACACCUUCCUUGGCAACUGGAGGGAUUGCCUUUCUUACUCUAAAUACACAGCACCAGACAUGUUCUAUGUAUCUCCAUAAGGAAGGAAGCAGUCCAGCUCACCUUCACAAUGAAGGCAGGUUCAAAGAUCUGGUGUCAACUGAAGUAUACAUUCAUAUCUGGCCAGGGUUCUCCUUGUCAUGGAGAAAGGUACUUUACCAACACAGCCUGGCCAAAGUGGCUGGAGCUUUUUCUGUCCACUGGCCAGGGUGCAGUGAUGAUUGCCAGUGGCUCAC
rnacentral:lncRNA from 1 species